rnacentral:tRNA from 1 species
CAGAUAGCUCAGUUGGUAGAGCACGAGACUCUUAAUCUCAGGGUCAUGGGUUUGAGCAAAAGAUUCCUGCAUUGCAGGG